rnacentral:misc_RNA from 1 species
AAAGUCGUAACAAGGUUUCCGUAGGUGAACCUGCGGAAGGAUCAUUACACACUGCGCCAUGUCUGCUGGUGUUCGCACCAGCAGGCGUAGCCCAGCCAACCCUUGUCUAUCUCUACCAUUUGUGAAUCCCUCGGCAGGGACGCCUGCCGCCGGGACCCCUAAACCCUUUUGUAUUUAAGCAUCAAAACAAUCUGAAUCUAAACAAAAUUAUUACAACUUUCAACAAUGGAUCUCUUGGUUCUG